UAAGUACUCCCUCCGUUCGGAAAUAUUUGUCGAAGGAAAGCAUAAAAAUGAAUGUAUCUAAAACUAGAAUAUGUCUAGAUACAUCCAUUCCUUCGACAAAUAUUUUCGGAGAGAGGGAGUAUUUG
rfam:Triticum aestivum genome assembly, contig: Triticum_aestivum_CS42_TGACv1_scaffold_288892_4AL